rnacentral:rRNA from 1 species
AUUGAACGCUGACGGCAUGCCUAACACAUGCAAGUCGAGCGGAGCGGCGGACGGGUGAGUAAUGCCUAGGAAUCUGCCUGGUAGUGGUGGAUAACGUCCGGAAACGGGCGCUAAUACCGCAUACUAUCAGAUGAGCCUAGGUCGGAUUAGCUAGUUGGUGGGGUAAAGGCCUACCAAGGCGACGAUCCGUAACUGGUCUGAGAGGAUGAUCAGUCACAGUGGAACUGAGAUACGGUCCAGACUCCUACGGGAGGCGGCAGUGGGGAAUAUGGCACAAUGGGGGCAAGCCUGAUGCAGCCAUGCGGCGUGUGUGAAGAAGGCCUGCGGGUUGUAAAGCACUUUCAGCGGGGAGGCGUUACCCGCAGAAGAAGCACCGGCUAACUCCGUGCCAGCAGCCGCGGUAAUAC